rnacentral:rRNA from 1 species
GAUGAACGCUGGCGGCGUGCCUAAUACAUGCAAGUCGAGCGAACAGAUGAGGAGCUUGCUCCUCUGACGUUAGCGGCGGACGGGUGAGUAACACGUGGAUAACCUACCUAUAAGACUGGGAUAACUUCGGGAAACCGGAGCUAAUACCGGAUAAUAUAUUGAACCGCAUGGUUCAAUAGUGAAAGACGGUUUUGCUGUCACUUAUAGAUGGAUCCGCGCCGCAUUAGCUAGUUGGUAAGGUAACGGCUUACCAAGGCAACGAUGCGUAGCCGACCUGAGAGGGUGAUCGGCCACACUGGAACUGAGACACGGUCCAGACUCCUACGGGAGGCAACAGUAGGGAAUCUUCCGCAAAGGGCGAAAGCCUGACGGAGCAACGCCGCGUGAGUGAUGAAGGUCUUCGGAUCGUAAAACUCUGUUAUUAGGGAAGAACAAAUGUGUAAGUAACUAUGCACGUCUUGACGGUACCUAAUCAGAAAGCCACGGCUAACUACGUG